GACGAACGCUGGCGGCGUGCUUAACACAUGCAAGUCGAGCGGUAAGGCCUUUCGGGGUACACGAGCGGCGAACGGGGGAGUAACACGUGGGUGAUCUGCCCUGCACUUCGGGAUAAGCCUGGGAAACUGGGUCUAAUACCGGAUAUGACCUCCUAUCGCAAGGUGGGUGGUGGGAAGAUUUAUCGGUGCAGGAUGGGCCCGCGGCCUAUCAGCUUGUUGGUGGGGUAAUGGCCUACCAAGGCGACGACGGGUAGCCGACCUGAGAGGGUGACCGGCCACACUGGGCCUGGGGCACGGCCCGGACUCCUACGGGGGGCAGCAGUGGGGAAUAUUGCACAAUGGGCGGAAGCCUGAUGCAGCGACGCCGCGUGGGGGAUGACGGCCUUCGGGUUGUAACCCGCUUUCAGCAGGGACGAAGCGCAAGUGACGGUACCUGCAGAAGAAGCACCGGCUAACUACGUG
rnacentral:rRNA from 1 species